rnacentral:rRNA from 1 species
CGCGGCCUAUCAGCUUGUUGGUGAGGUAAUGGCUCACCAAGACGACGACGGGUAGCCGGCCUGAGAGGGCGACCGGCCACACUGGGACUGAGACACGGCCCAGACUCCUACGGGAGGCAGCAGUGGGGAAUAUUGCACAAUGGGGGAAACCCUGAUGCAGCGACGCAGCGUGCGGGAUGACGGCCUUCGGGUUGUAAACCGCUUUCAGCAGGGAAGAAGCGCAAGUGACGGUACCUGCAGAAGAAGUACCGGCUAACUACGUGCCAGCAGCCGCGGUAAUACGUAGGGUACGAGCGUUGUCCGGAAUUAUUGGGCGUAAAGAGCUCGUAGGUGGUUGGUCACGUCUGCUGUGGAAACGCAACGCUUAACGUUGCGCGUGCAGUGGGUACGGGCUGACUAGAGUGCAGUAGGGGAGUCUGGAAUUCCUGGUGUAGCGGUGAAAUGCGCAGAUAUCAGGAGGAACACCGGUGGCGAAGGCGGGACUCUGGGCUGUAACUGACACUGAGGAGCGAAAGCAUGGGGAGCGAACAGGAUUAGAUACCCUGGUAGUCCAUGCCGUAAACGUUGGGCACUAGGUGUGGGGGGCAUUCCACGUUCUCCGCGCCGUAGCUAACGCAUUAAGUGCCCCGCCUGGGGAGUACGG